GCGCACGCACGGGCCGGGCGGGCCUGGAGACUUAUUUGGCGCCCAGCGCGGAAGCGAACAGUGUGCAUCCAGCUUCUUCAGCCUUCCAACCUAAACUGAAGACCAAUUACUCUCUCAAGAAUCCUCUGGAACUUCAACACCACAUUGGGACUACUGAGGCACCCAGCUGGGUAGAUGGAACAGCUACCAGUCUUCUGUUUCUCUGGUGUUAAGACAGCCAUUGUUGGAUUACCUAAACCAUAUCCUGUAUGUCAAUCUAAUAAAUCCUUUUUCCUAUUUUCA